GACGAACGCUGGCGGCGUGCUUAACACAUGCAAGUCGAGCGGAGCGGCGAACGGGUGAGUAACGCGUGAGUAACUGCCCCCCUCUCUGGGAUAACAGUUGGAAACGGCUGCUAAUACCGGACAGUGGGGGAUGACUCGCGUCCUAUCGGCUUGUUGGUGGGGUAGUGGGCUACGAAGGCGACGACGGGUAGGCGGCCUGAGAGGGCGACCGGCCACAUUGGGCUGAGAAGCGACACAAACUCAUACGGAGGGAAGCAGUGGGGAAUAUUGUGAUAGGGGGGAGACUCUGAUGCAGCAACGCGCGUGCGGGAGGACGGCCUUCGGGUUGUAAACCGCUUUCAGCCAUGACGCGGUAGUGGCAGAAGAAGCACAGGCUAACUACGUGCCAGCAGCCGCGGUAAUUC
rnacentral:rRNA from 1 species